AAAAAAAAAAGAAGUUAUCUGAUCCAGUCACCCCUGUUUACCAAUGAGGAAUCUAGACCCAGAUGAAGUUAAAGGACUUACCCAAGAGUACCCAACAACUCUCUGGCCACCCCCAGGCUCCCAUCUUUGUGUCUUUCCUGUGUGGGCUGUUCCCUGAAAUUCUUCCUGAUAGGCACAUUGCCUUUCCCUUUGAUUUUAAAUUCUUGGCUCACAUGACAUGCCCGGACUAUAUCGUGUAAUGUGACCUUGAAAAAUAAUUUACGUACAAGUCUUGAAAGCAAAUCAAGUUUUAAAACAAAGUAGCACCUACUCUGUCGCAGCCUUGACAUCUAUUACAAAGUAAAUGCUGGCUCUUUAAUUUCCCUAAUCAAGGCUGUUCCUAUUUAGCCAGCCUCCUCAAGGGGUCCCAGCACCAGCCCCACUCCAACGCCUGAUGAAGCUCCAGAACAGGUGAGAAAAAUGAGAGGGUCCUGCCCAGGGCUCUGGGAGUCGGCCCUCACUGCCUGCCCUUCAGACAGCAAGACAGAAAAGGCAUUCAUUUUCUUCCUCCACGUCAUGAUACCAACCGAAAUUACCUUUAAAUGAGGAAGAAGGUCAUUAUUUAAUCAAUAGGAUUGCGUCAAUUGAGGAAAAUUUGUCUCCAGUGUAAACAAGCGGAACGUCUUUGCGCUCUAUGAAAACAAGGUUAAAUUACUUGCAGAUCCAGGCGACGUGGAGAGAUGUAGGAAGUGAACCUGCAGCCUGACACAUUCAAGGUCUGGGAACCGAAAAUAAUAGGAAUUGUUCUUAUUUUUCCAGUGGAAUCGAGCACAGAGAUGGGCACGCCUCUUUACAGAACCAAAGAUUCAGAACCGUGCCUUACCCUUUGCUUAUGAGGCGGAGGAGGAGGUAGAGGAGGAAGAGAAAGAACCACCACAAAGAGAGAUGGCAACAAAAGACAAAAUGCUUGGAGGAACAACAGACACCCUGCGACCAUGAAGAUAGGACAAAGUCACAUACUAAGGUCUGAGGCCCAGGGUCACCAAAAACCCAGGAGACCUGAGGCCGGCUGGGCCUGAGAGGCACAAGCAGGCUAAGGAGUGGACAGAAGAGAAGCCUAGAGGAUGAAAGCCAGCUCUGCAAAGAGCUUCCAAGAGUCUUCCUGCCACAGAAAUUCCACUUGGCCACUGAAAUGGCCCUGGCCCUGGGCCUGGAGAGAGGUGGCGACAAGCUGCUCACGGCAAUGACUUUCAGUCAACAUAUCUUGCCUGUGCUUCUAAGGGUGGAGAUGCAAUUGUGAGUAGCUCACUGGGUCAGGCAGGUCACAAACCAAGCUCCUCCCACACAGUGAUUUCACAGAGACAGAGAGAAGGAAGGGAAGGAGGUUCCCAGCUCUAGGGAUUCCUUAGGUCAAGGAGGGACAGGGUCCCUGUACUUGGGGACCCCCCAGUCUGACGGGAAGAUACAAGUCAACCCUCUUAGAGCCGUGGAAUGAAUGCCCCCUACAGCUCCUCUCUUCAGGAAGGAAAUCCAGUCUGAUGGAAGAGACGUGGCCCCUGUUGUAUCAUUCUUGCCUUCUCACCUAUGUCACACAAGGGAGUGAAGGAGGUGGCAGGCCCUGGGAUAGGUCUAUUUCUGAGGUGAAUGGAGGCUCUCAGGGGACGUUCCCACAGUCCUGCUGUCAAGGGCCCCUUCCCCCACCCCCCCCUCCCCGCCACGAUGCCUUACCCACUGGAAUGAAUCCUGAGCUCUGAGCCUAUUCCUAACACAGAAUGCUGACCCCUUUGUCACGUCCCGCUUUCCCUCCAACUUUGUUUUUUGUUAUUUUUCCCACCCAGACUUCCCCCCCGCCCACUUGCCAUUUCCCAAGCUCGCCCGGGGAGACUAGACUCAGCGGCCCACUGGUGAUCUUGUUUUACAUGAGACAUUUCCAAAAAAGACCAAAAAAUCCUUUCCAGGAAAAUGCCAUUUUAAAAAGUCAGCUCCAGACACUGCGGCAACAUUAGGAAAACAAAGGACUUGGCAGAAAGGUUUUCUGCAUGGAGACUUUCUCUCGAAAAUACCUUUUCCAAAUUGUCUCCAGUGGGGAUGACUCCAAGGGUCAGUUCUGGAGCACCCAGGCAAUUGCAGACAGAGUCACUUCUGGUUUGUACACUGUCCCAGGUCUUUCCUUACCUGAUACCACCCUGGGAUCUUCCAGGCUUAAACAAAGAACCCCUUCCAAGGGUCCCCAAAGGAAGCAGCUGUCCCUGAGGGUCAAGAAAUAAUGCUGCUUCCUCCCUCCAGAGGGGACUCCUUAGCCCCUCUCUUGCCACCGUCACUAAGCAGGGGGCCCAGGUUAGGAGCUGGAGGGACAUAGUGCGCUUAGUAGAGAGCUUGUCUUCUCUUAUCAUCCAAGUGAGAGGAAUACACAGCUUCCCCUGGGACAUACAUAGUGGUGUUCCCCUUUUUGCAUGUAUCAGGUAUAAUUAAUCAGGUUGACGUCACAUAUAUAAUAAUAAUGGCCAUUAUUUAUUAAACGCUCCUGAUGUGUCCAC